CCCAAUGCUGCGCAUUGGGCUGAAUUAACACGCCCUUUCAGGGCU
rfam:Tannerella forsythia 92A2, complete genome.